GCGAUUCGACAUGAUCUGAUUUUUAAUUAUUUUCUUGUGUUUUUUAUUUGUUUUGUUGGGUGUUUUAUUGAAGUAUCAUUUUUGUUGUUGUAUCUUAUGGAUUUAAUUUUUGUUGCGAUAGUUGAUUUGUACUGUAGGGGGUUGUUUAUUUAUUUUUUUGGAAGUUGAUUUUGUUUGUUGUACCUUGUGUAUCAGGGUUCAUUGAAUUUUAUUAUUUAUUUUUUAUUUCCCGAUUCUAAAGGAGUUAGUGGUUUAUGCUAGUUGUUGUUUCAAUAAUAUUAGUGAUAGGUUGCUGGUAGUGAAAUGUUAUUCGUCUUUGGUGGUUUCUGGUUUUCCAAGAAAUGAAUUUAAUUCAUACGCUUUAUUUAGAUUUUAAUGUUGGUUUAUUUACCUUUAUUUGGCGUUAAGAUUAAGGGGGAUUAGCUCUUUAUUUUAUUUUUAUAAUUUUGUUUAUUUAUUUGAGUUUUGUGGAUUUUAUAGUGAUUUUCGGUUUGAUUAUGUUAAAAUUUUAUUUGCUUUCUUUUAGAUUUUUUUGUGAUUUGGUUUUUUAUUGGAAUGUUUUCUUUAUUUUGUUUUGUGUAGUAAUUAUUGUGGAAUUAGUAAAUUUUUAUUUCGUGUUGUUUAUUUGGGUGUUAAUUUCUUUUAAGGAAUUAGGCAAAUAUUUCAUGUCCGCCUGUUUAACAAAAACAUCUUUUCUUGUUAGUUUUUGAAGUAUGGCCUGCCCGCUGACGUGUUAGUUGAAGGGCCGCGGUAUUUUGACCGUGCAAAGGUAGCAUAAUCAUUAGUUCUUUAAUUGUGAUCUGGUAUGAAUGGCUUGACGAGGCAUGAGCUGUCUUGGAUAGGAUUUUGUUUAUUGAGUUUGGUUUCUGAGUUAAAAUUCUUAGAUGUUUUUAUGGGACGAGAAGACCCUAUAGAGUUUGACAUUUUUGUGUAGUUCUAGUGUUGUUUGUUUUUAAUGUUUUAUGUAUAUUUGUUUUGUUGGGGUGAUGGGAGGAAUUUUCUUAACUCCUCUUUUUCUUUGUUACAUUUGUGUGUGUUUAUUUUGAUCCAUUUAUUUUGAUUAUAAGAUUAAAUUACCUUAGGGAUAACAGCGUUAUCUUCCCUGAGAGUUCUUAUUGGCGGGGGGGUUUGCGACCUCGAUGUUGGAUUAAGGUUAAUUUUUGGUGUAGGAGCUGAAUUGAUUAGGUCUGUUCGACCUUUAAAACCUUACAUGAUCUGAGUUCAGACCGGCGUGAGCCAGGUUGGUUUCUAUCUAUAACUAUUUUUAUGCCUUAGUACGAGAGGACCGGGUAUUUGGAAUAAUUUUGUUUUUAUUGAUUAUUAUUAAUGAUUAUUGCUAUUUUGGCAGAUAAGUGCAUUGGAUUUAGAAUCUU
rnacentral:rRNA from 1 species